rnacentral:rRNA from 1 species
UACAGAGGUCUCAAGCGUUGUUCGGAUUCAUUGGGCGUAAAGGGUGCGUAGGCGGCGCGGUAAGUCGGGUGUGAAAUCCUGGAGCUUAACUCCGAAACUGCAUUCGAUACUGCCGUGCUUGAGGACUGGAGAGGAGACUGGAAUUUACGGUGUAGCGGUGAAAUGCGUAGAUAUCGUAAGGAAGACCAGUGGCGAAGGCGGGUCUCUGGACAGUUCCUGACGCUGAGGCACGAAGGCCAGGGGAGCAAACGGG